rnacentral:rRNA from 1 species
UAGAGUUUGAUCCUGGCUCAGGAUGAACGCUGGCGGCGUGCCUAAUACAUGCAAGUCGAACGAAUCUCUUUUAGAGAUGAGUGGCGAACGGGUGAGUAAUACAUAGGUAACCUGCCCCUGUGCGGGGGAUAACAGGAGGAAACUCCUGCUAAUACCGCAUAGCCAUGAGCACCGCAUGGAGCUCAUGCCAAAUAUCCUUUCGGGGAUAGCGCAGGGAUGGACCUAUGGCGCAUUAGCUGGUUGGCGGGGCAACGGCCCACCAAGGCAACGAUGCGUAGCCGGCCUGAGAGGGCGGACGGCCACAUUGGGACUGAGACACGGCCCAGACUCCUACGGGAGGCAGCAGUAGGGAAUUUUCGGCAAUGGGGGAAACCCUGACCGAGCAACGCCGCGUGAGCGAAGAAGGCCUUCGGGUCGUAAAGCUCUGUUGUAAAGGAAGAACGGCGCAUACAGGAAAUGGUAUGCGAGUGACGGUACUUUACCAGAAAGCCACGGCUAACUACGUGCCAGCAGCCGCGGUAAUACGUAGGUGGCGAGCGUUAUCCGGAAUCAUUGGGCGUAAAGAGGGAGCAGGCGGCCGCAAGGGUCUGUGGUGAAAGACCGAAGCUAAACUUCGGUAAGCCAUGGAAACCGGGCGGCUAGAGUGCGGAAGAGGAUCGUGGAAUUCCAUGUGUAGCGGUGAAAUGCGUAGAUAUAUGGAGGAACACCAGUGGCGAAGGCGACGGUCUGGGCCGCAACUGACGCUCAUUCCCGAAAGCGUGGGGAGCAAAUAGGAUUAGAUACCCUAGUAGUCCACGCCGUAAACGAUGGUCACUAAGUGUCGGGGGUCAAACCCCGGUGCUGCAGUCAACGCAAUAAGUGACCCGCCUGAGUAGUACGUUCGCAAGA